rnacentral:rRNA from 1 species
UACGUAGGGAGCAAGCGUUGUCCGGAAUCAUUGGGCGUAAAGCGCGCGUAGGUGGCCUCAUAAGUCCGCUGUGAAAGUCAAAGGCUCAACCUUUGAAAGCCGGUGGAUACUGUGGGGCUAGAGUACGGAAGAGGCGAGUGGAAUUCCUGGUGUAGCGGUGGAAUGCGCAGAUAUCAGGAGGAACACCGGUGGCGAAGGCGGAUCUCUGGGCCGUAACUGACGCUGAGGAGCGAAAGCAUGGGGAGCGAACGGG